UCUGAUGCUCCAGCAGGUACAUCUACUUCAGAUGAGGAACACCAAUAGUUUGGAAAAAGAAAUGGGUGCUAGACUUCGCAAGACUGGCCUCUCAACACUACCUGCUGCUGUCAGAGCAGGCUUAACUGCAGAUUUGAUCGACGACCCACAGUUGAUUCCAGAGAAACUCAAGGUGUUGCAAGACAACCUGAAGUCUUGCUACAAGUUUGCAACGGAGAUGGCGAAUUGAUCUUAUCUCAAGUCCUAGAAAUUGAAGGCUGCUAUUGACGCCAGUCAAAUUCUCGAGGAUAAAGAGCGCCAAAUCCGUGAAGAAUCCAACAAAUAUCUGGAGAUCCGUAAUGAGUUGUACAAGGUGCAACGUGAAAGCACUCAACAAAUCUAGCUCCUGAAGCAGGAUGUUGAGAACCUGGAGAGGGAUAAAAAGGAACUCGAAGAGAGAAACCAAUCCCUCCAAAUAAAACUAGAAGAAAUGGCAUAAAGUCAUAAAGAUGAAACCGAGAAGCUGAAGGAUCAGCUUGCCAAAUAUACCAAGCUGAAAGCAGUUGCACAAACACUUGUUGACAUGGUGGAUCCACCCGAAAAGGGAGCUGGGGUCACUAAGACAUUGGUGGAGUGGCUGCGAGAGGCUCCCCAUAAGAUUGUCGAGUACCUCUUGGAUAACGCCAAGCAACAUGUAGCACAUGUUUAGCACUAGUCAAGUCCUAUUGGCCUUAGGCAAAGCUAGCCCCCUUGGGAGAAGGCAUGCUAGAAGAAUGUUCGAGGAGGAUUUCGUCAGGUUCCGGGAGGAAGCCAAGCCUAUAGCUGAGAAGAUAGUUUAGAGCCUGGAGUAGGACGAAGGGUGUUAACUCCUAUGCUUUGCUGUGACUAUAUGUAUGAAAAUACA